AAGCAGAGUGCUCGCAUACUAAAAUUGAAACGAUACUGAGAUAAUUUGCAUGGCCCCUGCACAAGGAUGACACGCAAAUUCGUGAAGCGUUCCAUAUUUUU
rnacentral:snRNA from 1 species